AAAAAUCUUGACAGAGGAGCUAUUGUGAUCAAGAAGGUGGUUCUCUCAGUCAAAGUUUGUCCAUUGUACUCCAGAUGUGCUGACCCCUGCAAUUUCCCCACAAGUGGGAAACCAGACUGCAUAAUUUGUGGUGGUGGGGGUCUGUGAUCCCACAUUCUCCUG
ensembl:snRNA U1 U1 spliceosomal RNA